UACGUAGGGUGCAAGCGUUGUCCGGAAUUAUUGGGCGUAAAGAGCUCGUAGGCGGUGUGUCGCGUCGGCCGUGAAAACCUGCAGCUUAACUGUGGGCUUGCGGUCGAUACGGGCAUCACUGGAGUUCGGCAGGGGAGACUGGAAUUCCUGGUGUAGCGGUGGAAUGCGCAGAUAUCAGGAGGAACACCAAUAGCGAAGGCAGCUCGCUGGGACGGUACUGACGCUAAGGCGCGAAAGCGUGGGGAGCGAACAGG
rnacentral:rRNA from 1 species